AAAAACCAAAUUGAAUAGCUCAAAUUUUCUAAUGCUUCAAUCAAUACAUAUAUGUAUGCAUUACUUUGAUAAACAAAACCAUACUAGAUAUACAUAAUUUUUACUCAAAUAACAAGCAAAUAUAAGAAUGUAAUUGAAUACCCAUUAUUGUAAUUAAGAAAAAAAAGAAAAAGAAAUUAAUUACCUGGACGACCUGGACAAAGGUCUUGAGGAUGGUGACAGCAGCUCUCUCGGUGUAAUGGCCUUUGUCGACGAUGCGAUCGAAGAGUUCUCCUCCCUGACAGAGCUUCAUCAAAAGAUAAACAGCAUCUCUAUCCUCGUAGACCUCCUUGUACUUGACAAUGUUAGGGUUAGAAGGCAAAUGGUUCAAGAGGGGUUCUUUCAAGAUUGUUAGCUGACGAGAGAUUCAGCUCUUUGAUCUCUCCAAUCACUGCUGCUGCUGCUGUGUCUCCGAGGAAGAGGAAUCGUUACUCUUCUCUGGUAAUGGUUUGGGGCGUUUGGUUUCUGAUUCACAGGUACAUAUAUAUAUAUAUAUAUACAUAUCCAUCCAAAAUUUCAACCCCUUAACAAAACUUAAGAUGAUAGAAUUUCUGAUUUCCCUUUUUGUCUUCUAAUUCUAUGCAGAUCAGCUAGUCUUCCAAUCACUCUCUCUCCUCUCUAGUUUUUUCUUGCUUGGUUUUAUUGGGUCUGUUUAAUUGCAUCCAUUUUUCAAUUGUAGCAUAAAUUGUUUGUUGAAAAUGAAUUAUCUGCCAAAUAUUGUUAUAUCUAUAUACAUACAUAUAUAUAUAUAUAUAUAUAUAUAUAUAUAUAUAAUUCAAUGACUAGGUUUUAACAGUUACUUGGUACAGAUAUCUGGGUAUGCUGGAAUUCAGUACACCUCUCCAUCAUUUGCAUAUGCAAUGUUAAACCUCAUCCCAAGUUUUACCGGAGAAAAAUCCUCUCCAUUCACAUCUCACUCCAAAGUGUCUAGUGGUGGGCCAUUUGGCUGAUGUGGCAAAGGUGGUAAAAUGGUGUAAUCGAGAAACAAGGCAACCAAGAUAUAAAGAUAAAGAUUUUGGAGAAGAAGAAGCUGAAUAAGGAUGUUUUCUGGAAAGCAAAAGAUCUCCCUGUUCAAAGAAGCUUCGAGGAGGGGAAUCUGACGUUUUCUGGAAGGCAAAUGAUCUUCAUGUUCAAAGAAGCUCCAAGAAGGAGAGAUUUCCCCCAAAAAAAAUUUUAGUCUGGCGAAAAGCUGAAACUCCGAUCAUCUAGUCCGGCGAGAAGCUGAAGCUCCGAUCAUCAGUCUGGCGUAAUUUAUACAUCUUCUUUAUGCACGUAUUAUUGCAUCUUUCCAAAAUCUAUUUGAGUUUCAAUUUUCAAUUUCUCCCCAAAAGGAAAGUUGACCUUUCCUCAAAACUUUACUAUAUAUAUACCAUGCCUAAAAUAUCAAAUAGGAAAUUCCUCUCUAAAAUUUGAGAUUCUGUAAAGAAACUCUAGAUUCGAAACUCUCCCCAAACUCUGCUAUUUAUGUUUAUGUGUAAAAAACUCUCUUGGUGAAGGUCGAAGAGGCAUAGCAAACAAAAGGAGAUCUAGUCGGAAAAAUCACCAUAUAUUCCGGCAAUAAGCUAAAAUUUCUGAAGAGGAGAGAUUCCCCCAAAAUAUUUCUGAUAGUCCAGCGAGAGCUAAAGCUCCAAUCAUUAUAGUAUUAGGUUGUUAUUUUGAAUUUUUUGUAACUUUAUUCAUAAUGAUAUAUCAAAGUUUAUCUUAUAUUA